rnacentral:rRNA from 1 species
CUAAUACCGAAUAAGUUCCAAGAGCCGCAUGGCCCAUGGAAGAAAAGGUGGCCUCUACCUGUAAGCUAUCGCCUGAAGAGGGGUUUGCGUCUGAUUAGCUGGUUGGAGGGGUAACGGCCCACCAAGGCGACGAUCAGUAGCCGGUCUGAGAGGAUGAACGGCCACACUGGAACUGAGACACGGUCCAGACUCCUACGGGAGGCAGCAGUGGGGAAUCUUCCGCAAUGGGCGAAAGCCUGACGGAGCAACGCCGCGUGAGUGAUGACGGCCUUCGGGUUGUAAAACUCUGUGAUCCGGGACGAAAAGGCAGAGUGCGAAGAACAAACUGCAUUGACGGUACCGGAAAAGCAAGCCACGGCUAACUACGUGCCAGCAGCCGCGGUAAUACGUAGGUGGCAAGCGUUGUCCGGAAUUAUUGGGCGUAAAGCGCGCGCAGGCGGCUUCCCAAGUCCCUCUUAAAAGUGCGGGGCUUAACCCCGUGAUGGGAAGGAAACUGGGAAGCUGGAGUAUCGGAGAGGAAAGUGGAAUUCCUAGUGUAGCGGUGAAAUGCGUAGAGAUUAGGAAGAACACCGGUGGCGAAGGCGACUUUCUGGACGAAAACUGACGCUGAGGCGCGAAAGCGUGGGGAGCAAACAGGAUUAGAUACCCUGGUAGUCCACGCCGUAAAC